rnacentral:rRNA from 1 species
GACGAACGCUGGCGGUGUGCUUAACACAUGCAAGUCGAACGGAAAGGCCCUGCUUUUGUGGGGUGCUCGAGUGGCGAACGGGUGAGUAACACGUGAGUAACCUGCCCUUGACUUUGGGAUAACUUCAGGAAACUGGGGCUAAUACCGGAUAGGAGCUCCUGCUGCAUGGUGGGGGUUGGAAAGUUUCGGCGGUUGGGGAUAGACUCGCAGCUUAUCAGCUUGUUGGUGGGGUAGUGGCUUACCAAGGCUUUGACGGGUAGCCGGCCUGAGAGGGUGACCGGCCACAUUGGGACUGAGAUACGGCCCAGACUCCUACGGGAGGCAGCAGUGGGGAAUAUUGCACAAUGGGCGGAAGCCUGAUGCAGCAACGCCGCGUGCGGGAUGACGGCCUUCGGGUUGUAAACCGCUUUCGCCUGUGACGAAGCGUGAGUGACGGUAAUGGGUAAAGAAGCACCGGCUAACUACGUG